CAUCCGUUCAUUCGUUCUGCAGGCGGCUGGUACAUGCCGCUCCAAGCCGCUCUGUUUUGAUGGUCCACCGGAGAUCAAAGACCCUCCCCUCCCUCCUCGCCCACAUCAGACCUGCGGUGUGUCGGGGAUAAAGCCGUCCCCUAGUGCAACAUGAAGUCGAUGCUCAGAGUCCCACCCCCUGGCCUCAGAUGACCGUUCUUCCUCAUCCUCCUCUUCUUCCUCUUCCUCCUCCUCCUCAGUCCUACUUAUCCUCAGACUCUCAGAACGUACGAAAGGCCUGUAGGACCUAAAGACUCCUCUCCCCUCCACCCUGACAUUCAGAAGGCUGAAACCCUGCCUCGGCCCUGGGCCGGCGGAUCAGGAAACCCCCAGGCUUCAGUCCCUGCUGGGUCUACUCUGGGCCCCUCCAGCCCUCCAGACGCCUCCUCACCCAGCCCGCUGAACACCGGCCCUGGGACAUGGGCAGGCGUCCUGACAGGGAAGAGCUCAACGACAGCUAACGGCUCCAACACAGACACCAAGACACCUAAACCAGGUAAACCGGACUACAUCCCGAAGGAAGAGAUCCUCAGAGAGCUUCAGGAGAUAGAGGACAGUGUUAAUGAGUUGGAGAGGAAAGGAGUGGACCUGGAGAAACAACUACGUGCCUGUGAAGAGGGUAGG